UACGUAGGGUGCGAGCGUUACUCGGAAUUACUGGGCGUAAAGCGUGCGCAGGCGGUUGUGCAAGACAGAGGUGAAAUCCCCGGGCUUAACCUGGGAAUGGCCUUUGUGACUGCACGGCUAGAGUGUGUCAGAGGGGGGUAGAAUUCCACGUGUAGCAGUGAAAUGCGUAGAGAUGUGGAGGAAUACCGAUGGCGAAGGCAGCCCCCUGGGAUAACACUGACGCUCAUGCACGAAAGCGUGGGGAGCAAACAGG
rnacentral:rRNA from 1 species